rnacentral:rRNA from 1 species
UGCGUAGGCGGAUUAUUAAGUCAGUGGUGAAAGUCUUCAGCUUAACUGAAGAAGUGCCAUUGAUACUGGUAGUCUUGAGUACAGUAGAGGUAGGCGGAAUUUAUGGUGUAGCGGUGAAAUGCAUAGAUACCAUAAAGAACACCGAUAGCGUAGGCAGCUUACUAUACUGUAACUGACGCUGAGGCACGAAAGCGUGGGGAGCGAACAGGAUUAGAUACCCUGGUAGUCC